rnacentral:rRNA from 1 species
ACGUUGGCGGCAGGCUUACACAUGCAAGUCGAACGGUAGCAGGAGAAAGCUUGCUUUCUUGCUGACGAGUGGCGGACGGGUGAGUAAUGCUUGGGAAUCUGGCCUAUGGAGGGGGGAUAACGACGGGAAACUGUCGCUAAUACCGCGUAUUAUCGGAAGAUGAAAGUGCGGGACUGAGAGGCCGCAUGCCAUAGGAUGAGCCCAAGUGGGAUUAGGUAGUUGGUGGGGUAAAUGCCUACCAAGCCAGCGAUCUCUAGCUGGUCUGAGAGGAUGACCAGCCACACUGGAACUGAGACACGGUCCAGACUCCUACGGGAGGCAGCAGUGGGGAAUAUUGCGCAAUGGGGGGAACCCUGACGCAGCCAUGCCGCGUGAAUGAAGAAGGCCUUCGGGUUGUAAAGUUCUUUCGGUAUUGAGGAAGGUUGAUGUGAUAAUAGCACAUCAAAUUGACGUUAAAUACAGAAGAAGCACCGGCUAACUCCGUGCCAGCAGCCGCGGUAAUACGGAGGGUGCGAGCGUUAAUCGGAAUAACUGGGCGUAAAGGGCACGCAGGCGGUUAUUUAAGUGAGGUGUGAAAGCCCUGGGCUUAACCUAGGAAUUGCAUUUCAGACUGGGUAACUAGAGUACUUUAGGGAGGGGUAGAAUUCCACGUGUAGCGGUGGAAUGCGUAGAGAUGUGGAGGAAUACCGAAGGCGAAGGCAGCCCCUUGGGAAUGUACUGACGCUCAUGUGCGAAAGCGUGGGGAGCAAACAGGAUUAGAUACCCUGGUAGUCCACGCUGUAAACGCUGUCGAUUUGGGGGUUGGGGUUUAACUUUGGCGCCCGUAGCUAACGUGAUAAAUCGACCGCCUGGGGAGUACGGCCGCAAGGUUAAAACUCAAAUGAAUUGGACGGGGGCCCGCACAA